CCCGUAGAGACUCCGACCGGGGACUCAUCCCUUCGUCCUUCCUCCUGGCCUGCGCAGCCUCCUCCCCACCUCCCUGGGCUUCAUAGAGGCGCCCAAGAUGGCGGGAGGUCCGGGGCGGUCGGAAGCGUUAGAAGGGAAGCGUAUCUAGAGCAUCGAGCUCGGGCGGUUGAUCACCUGCUGAGACGCUCCUUUCCCGACCAUGAGCAACAUCUACAUCCAGGAGCCCCCCACGAACGGCAAGGUUUUGCUGAGAACAACAGCAGGAGAUAUAGAUAUAGAAUUAUGGUCAAAAGAAGCACCAAAAGCAUGUCGAAAUUUCAUCCAGCUUUGUAUGGAAGAUUAUUACAAUAACACAAUAUUUCACAGAGUAGUGCCUGGCUUUAUAGUGCAGGGAGGUGAUCCCACUGGUACUGGAUCAGGUGGAGAUUCAAUCUAUGGAGCCCCCUUCAAGGAUGAGUUCCACUCACGAUUGCGAUUUAAUCGAAGAGGACUUGUUGCUAUGGCAAAUGCUGGGCCCCAUGAUAACGGAAGUCAAUUUUUCUUUACGUUGGGUCGUGCAGAUGAACUUAAUAACAAGCACACAAUCUUUGGAAAGGUUACAGGGGAUACAAUAUAUAACAUGUUGCGCCUGGCUGAAGUAGAAGUAGACAAGGAAGAGAGACCUCUCAGUCCACACAAAAUAAGAAGCAGUGAGGUUUUGUUUAAUCCUUUUGAUGACAUUAUUCCAAGACCGAGUAGAAAGCUGAAGAAGGACAAGCCAGAAGAAGAAGCUAAGAAGUCCAAAGUAAAAGGCACAAAAAAUUUUAACCUGCUUUCCUUUGGUGAAGAAGCUGAAGAAGAAGAGGAGGAAAUCAGUAGAGUUAGUCAGAGCAUGAAGGGAAAAAGUAAAAGUAGUCAUGAUCUACUGAAGGAUGACCCACAUCUAAGCUCAGUUCCUGCUGUCAAAAGUGAAGCAGCAAGUGAAGAAAGGGAUUUGAGUGAGGAGGAAGAAGAACAUGAUGAAGACGCUGAUAGUGUAGAAGGUGAAGCUGCUAGCAAUGAGAGAUUUCAAAUAAAAGAACGCAUUGCCAAGAAGUUGAAAAAUGAUACAAAUGAAAAUGCUAAACAGCAACUUCAAGAGGAAGAAACUAAGACAGGAAAGAAAACAACUAGUCGCAGUGAGGAGCUACGGAAAGAAGCGCGACAGCUGAAGCGUGAACUGCUGGAAGCAAAGCAGAAAAAAGAAGAAAGAGCUUUAAAAACCAAAGAAAAGGAAGAGGAGGAACCUGCUCCAAACAGUGUUGUUGAAGAAUACCUGCAGGAGAAGAGAAAAUAUGAAGACAAGCGGAAGCAGCAGCCAAAGAAGGGGGUUUCUCGCGAAGAUCAGGAAUGCUGUCAGCAGAGAAAAUCAGACAAGACAGAAGGGUUUGUUUGGUCACAAUUUCAUGUAAAAAGGAUUAGUUUGUUUUCUUCUGAUGGCCUAGGCAGAGAUUUGCUGUCUCAGAUGUUGUUAGUAUGGGGUUUGUUUGCAAUAGUAUGGAAAGCUAUAGAAGUUGAAUGAUUUGCAGGCCCAAAUAUCUUUGAAAUUUUCCUCCCUCCCAUCUUAAACAGAAGAUUAAACAGAAAAUAAGGAAAAUAAAUGCAAAAAAAACUCCAAAACCUGCCUUUGGCAGUACUAAAAUAUGUUUUUGAAAGAAUUCGAAAGCCAGGAAACUCCUAAAGUUAGGAUUGCUCCCAGAAGGAAAUCUGAUUCCAGUGAACACUUCUGGUAUUUCCUAUUUCUGUUUUCUAUUCUUGUUUAGUUUUUAUUCUUUUAAAUUUGGAAAACUUAACCAAACAAAACUAAACAGCCAUACAGAGGUGUUUUACAACAUAGGUGGCCAACCUAUCACCUACAGAUCAAAUGUAGCCUGCCACGUAAAUUCAGUCAAGCACUUAUUCCCUGAUGCUUUCCUUUCCAAGAAUGUCUCAAAUGUCAGCAAAAAAUAAGCUGUGGGCUGUGCAAAUUAUUCUUAUGGUCUGCCUUUUUUUUGAAGAGCCCAUCACAAGGCUCAGGCAUAUAAUUCUUGUAUAAUCAAAAUCUCAUUCCAGGUGAUCAGAAACAAGACCUGUGGUAAGAUCUUCAGGUGUCACCUGAGAUUUUGUGACUUCGUUGUAGCUGAAAGACCGGGCAAUGUCAGCUGGAGAAAAAAAUACCAAAUAUAAAUCAACACUGGCACUGUUGGAUCGAUUUAAAUCAAAGUUAACCCAGGCAAUUGAAGAAACUCCUGAAAAUGAAGUUUCUGAACCUGAAGUAGAUAAUGACGAAGGAUGGAUGUCACAUGUACUUCAGUUUGAAGACAGAAGCAGAAAGGUGAAAGAUGCAAGCAUGCAGGAUGAAGACACUUUUGAGAUUUAUGAUCCACGGAAUCCUGUAACAAAGAGGAGAAGAGAAGAAAGCAAGAAGAUAAUGAGAGAAAAAAAGGAAA